GGGGGGGUUUCGGGAUUAUUGGGCGUAAGAGCUCGUAGGCGGUUUGUCGCGUCUGCCGUGAAAGUCCGGGGCUCAACUCCGGAUCUGCGGUGGGUACGGGCAGACUAGAGUGAUGUAGGGGAGACUGGAAUUCCUGGUGUAGCGGUGAAAUGCGCAGAUGUCAGGAGGAACACCGAUGGCGAAGGCAGGUCUCUGGGCAUUAACUGACGCUGAGGAGCGAAAGCAUGGGGAGCGAACAGGAUUAGAUACCCUGGUAGUCCAUGCCGUAAACGUUGGGCACUAGGUGUGGGGACAUUCCACGUUUUCCGCGCCGUAGCUAACGCAUUAAGUGCCCCGCCUGGGGAGUACGGCCGCAAGGCUAAGACUCAAAGGAAUUGACGGGGGCCCGCACAAGCGGCGGAGCAUGCGGAUUAAUUCGAUGCAACGCGAAGAACCUUACCAAGGCUUGACAUGGGCCGGACCGGGCUGGAAACAGUCCUUCCCCUUUGGGGCCGGUUCACAGGUGGUGCAUGGUUGUCGUCAGCUCGUGUCGUGAGAUGUUGGGUUAAGUCCCGCAACGAGCGCAACCCUCGUUCCAUGUUGCCAGCGCGUAAUGGCGGGGACUCAUGGGAGACUGCCGGGGUCAACUCGGAGGAAGGUGGGGACGACGUCAAAUCAUCAUGCCCCUUAUGUCUUGGGCUUCACGCAUGCUACAAUGGCCGGUACAAAGGGUUGCGAUACUGUGAGGUGGAGCUAAUCCCAAAAAGCCGGUCUCAGUUCGGAUUGGGGUCUGCAACUCGACCCCAUGAAGUCGGAGUCGCUAGUAAUCGCAGAUCAGCAACGCUGCGGUGAAUACGUUCCCGGGCCUUGUACACACCGCCCGUCAAGUUACGAAAGUUGGUAACACCCGAAGCCGGUGGCCUAACCCCUUGUGGGAGGGAGCUGUCGAAGUGGGACUGGCGAUUGGGACUAAGUCGUAACAAGGUAACC
rnacentral:rRNA from 1 species